UGGGGGAAUAUUGCGCAAUGGGGCGAAAGCCUGAUGCAGCAACGCCGCGUGAGUGAUGAAGGUCUUCGGAUUGUAAAGCUCUGUCUUUUGGGGACGAUAAUGACGGUACCAAAGGAGGAAGCCACGGCUAACUACGUGCCAGCAGCCGCGGUAAUACGUAGGUGGCGAGCGUUGUCCGGAUUUACUGGGCGUAAAGGGUGCGUAGGCGGAUGUUUAAGUGAGAUGUGAAAUACCCGGGCUUAACUUGGGUGCUGCAUUUCAAACUGGAUAUCUAGAGUGCAGGAGAGGAGAAUGGAAUUCCUAGUGUAGCGGUGAAAUGCGUAGAGAUUAGGAAGAACACCAGUGGCGAAGGCGAUUCUCUGGACUGUAACUGACGCUGAGGCACGAAAGCGUGGGUAGCAAACAGGAUUAGAUACCCUGGUAGUCCACGCCGUAAACGAUGAGUACUAGGUGUAGGAGGUAUCGACCCCUUCUGUGCCGCAGUAAAACACA
rnacentral:rRNA from 1 species